GACGAACGCUGGCGGCGUGCUUAACACAUGCAAGUCGAACGGAAAGGCCCUGCUUUUGUGGGGUGCUCGAGUGGCGAACGGGUGAGUAACACGUGAGUAACCUGCCCUUGACUUUGGGAUAACUUCAGGAAACUGGGGCUAAUACCGGAUAGGAGCUCCUGCUGCAUGGUGGGGGUUGGAAAGUUUCGGCGGUUGGGGAUGGACUCGCGGCUUAUCAGCUUGUUGGUGGGGUAGUGGCUUACCAAGGCUUUGACGGGUAGCCGGCCUGAGAGGGUGACCGGCCACAUUGGGACUGAGAUACGGCCCAGACUCCUACGGGAGGCAGCAGUGGGGAAUAUUGCACAAUGGGCGGAAGCCUGAUGCAGCAACGCCGCGUGCGGGAUGACGGCCUUCGGGUUGUAAACCGCUUUCGCCUGUGACGAAGCGUGAGUGACGGUAAUGGGUAAAGAAGCACCGGCUAACUACGUGCCAGCAGCCGCGGUGAUACGUAGGGUGCGAGCGUUGUCCGGAUUUAUUGGGCGUAAAGGGCUCGUAGGUGGUUGAUCGCGUCGGAAGUGUAAUCUUGGGGCUUAACCCUGAGCGUGCUUUCGAUACGGGUUGACUUGAGGAAGGUAGGGGAGAAUGGAAUUCCUGGUGGAGCGGUGGAAUGCGCAGAUAUCAGGAGGAACACCAGUGGCGAAGGCGGUUCUCUGGGCCUUUCCUGACGCUGAGGAGCGAAAGCGUGGGGAGCGAACAGGCUUAGAUACCCUGGUAGUCCACGCUGUAAACGGUGGGUACUAGGUGUGGGGUCCAUUCCACGGGUUCCGUGCCGUAGCUAACGCUUUAAGUACCCCGCCUGGGGAGUACGGCCGCAAGGCUAAAACUCAAAGGAAUUGACGGGGCCCCGCACAAGCGGCGGAGCAUGCGGAUUAAUUCGAUGCAACGCGUAGAACCUUACCUGGGUUUGACAUGGAUCGGGAGCGCUCAGAGAUGGGUGUGCCUCUUUUGGGGUCGGUUCACAGGUGGUGCAUGGCUGUCGUCAGCUCGUGUCGUGAGAUGUUGGGUUAAGUCCCGCAACGAGCGCAACCCUUGUUCACUGUUGCCAGCACGUUAUGGUGGGGACUCAGUGGAGACCGCCGGGGUCAACUCGGAGGAAGGUGGGGAUGACGUCAAGUCAUCAUACCCCUUAUGUCCAGGGCUUCACGCAUGCUACAAUGGCUGGUACAGAGAGUGGCGAGCCUGUGAGGGUGAGCGAAUCUCGGAAAGCCGGUCUCAGUUCGGAUUGGGGUCUGCAACUCGACCUCAUGAAGUCGGAGUCGCUAGUAAUCGCAGAUCAGCAACGCUGCGGUGAAUACGUUCCCGGG
rnacentral:rRNA from 1 species